AUCAACUUUCGAUGGUAGGAUAGAGGCCUACCAUGGUGGUAACGGGUAACGGGGUGUUAGGGCACGACACCGGAGAGGGAGCCUGAGAAACGGCUACCACAUCCAAGGAUGGCAGCAGGCGCGCAAAUUACCCAAUCCCGACACGGGGAGGUAGUGACAAUAAAUAACAAUACGGGGUUCUUUCGGAUUUCGUAAUUGGAAUGAGUACAAUUUAAAUCUCUUAACGAGGAACAAUUGGAGGGCAAGUCUGGUGCCAGCAGCCGCGGUAAUUCCAGCUCCAAUAGCGUAUAUUAAAGUUGUUGCAGUUAAAAAGCUCGUAGUUGAAUUUCGGGGUUAGUAGGUUGGUCAUGCCUCUGGUAUGUACUGGUCUCACUGAUUCCUCCUUCCUGAUGAGCCGUAAUGCCAUUAAUUUGGUGUUGCGAGGAAUCUGGACUGUUACUUUGAAAAAAUUAGAGUGUUUAAAGCAGGCUAACGCUUGAAUACAUUAGCAUGGAAUAAUGAAAUAGGACGUUCGAUCCUAUUUUGUUGGUUUCUAGGAUUGACGUAAUGAUUAAUAGGGAUAGUUGGGGGCAUUAGUAUUCAAUUGUCAGAGGUGAAAUUCUUGGAUUUAUUGAAGACUAACUACUGCGAAAGCAUUUGCCAAGGAUGUUUUCAUUAAUCAAGAACGAAAGUUAGGGGAUCGAAGACGAUCAGAUACCGUCGUAGUCUUAACCAUAAACUAUGCCGACUAGGGAUCGGAUGAUGUUAAUUUUUUAAUGACUCAUUCGGCGCCUUACGGGAAACCAAAGUGUUUGGGUUC
rnacentral:sRNA from 2 species